AUGACUGUGGCGGAAUUGGUAUACGCGGUUAGUUUAGGUCUAACUCCCUAAGGGUUCGAAUCCCUUCAGUCAUA
rnacentral:tRNA from 1 species